GACGAACGCUGGCGGCGUGCCUAAUACAUGCAAGUCGAACGCACAGUUUAUACCGUCGCUUGCUACACCAUAGACUGUGAGUUGCGAACGGGUGAGUAACGCGUAGGUAACCUGCCUGAUAUCGGGGGAUAACUGUUGGUAACGCUAACUACUACCGCAUGAUAUUAAUUAUUGCAUGAUCCUUAAUUGAAAGGUUCAAUUGCACCCCUACCAGCUGGUCCUGAGUUGUAUUUCCUAGUAGGUGAGGUAACGGCUCACCUAGGCGACGAUACAUAGCCGACCUGGGAGGGUGGUCGGCCAAACCGGGAACGAGACACGGCCCAGAACCCCACGGGAGGGAGCAGGAGGGAAACUUUGGAAAUUGACGAAAGGCUGACCGAGGAACGCCGGGGUAGUUAAGAAGGGUCUCGGAUUGGAAAGGCCUGUUGUAAGGGAAGAACGGGUGUGAGGGUGGAAAGUUCAUAUUGUGACGGUACCUUAAGAGAAAGCGACGGCUAACUACGUG
rnacentral:rRNA from 1 species